UGACUGAGCGGCGGACGGGUGAGUAACGCGUGGGCAACCUGCCUUACACAGGGGGAUAACAGUUAGAAAUGACUGCUAAUACCGCAUAAGACCACAAAACCGCAUGGUUUAGUGGUAAAAACUCCGGUGGUGUAAGAUGGGCCCGCGUCUGAUUAGGUAGUUGGUGGGGUAACGGCCUACCAAGCCGACGAUCAGUAGCCGACCUGAGAGGGUGACCGGCCACAUUGGGACUGAGACACGGCCCAGACUCCUACGGGAGGCAGCAG
rnacentral:rRNA from 1 species